rnacentral:rRNA from 1 species
GCCAGCAGCCAUGUCACCCUGCAACUCACAACUGGCAGCCCACUGAAGCUCAGCAGGUGUGAGCCUGGUCAGUACCUGGAUGGGAGACCUCCUGGGGAAAAAAAGGUUGCUGCUGGAA